AUUGAACGCUGGCGGCAUGCUUUACACAUGCAAGUCGAACGGCAGCACGGGCUUCGGCCUGGUGGCGAGUGGCGAACGGGUGAGUAAUAUAUCGGAACGUACCCAAAAGUGGGGGAUAACGUAGCGAAAGUUACGCUAAUACCGCAUACGAUCUAUGGAUGAAAGCAGGGGACCGCAAGGCCUUGUGCUCCUGGAGCGGCCGAUAUCUGAUUAGCUAGUUGGUGAGGUAAAGGCUCACCAAGGCGACGAUCAGUAGCUGGUCUGAGAGGACGACCAGCCACACUGGAACUGAGACACGGUCCAGACUCCUACGGGAGGCAGCAGUGGGGAAUUUUGGACAAUGGGCGCAAGCCUGAUCCAGCAAUGCCGCGUGAGUGAAGAAGGCCUUCGGGUUGUAAAGCUCUUUUGUCAGGGAAGAAACGGUAGAGGCUAAUAUCCUUUGCUAAUGACGGUACCUGAAGAAUAAGCACCGGCUAACUACGUG
rnacentral:rRNA from 1 species